GGAAUGAGAUCCAUCCUGCUACUCCUACUGGCGGCAUCCAUAGCUUCAGCUAUCUUUGCUCCUGGAGCCAGCGGAGGUUUUGGAGGUGGAGGUUUUGGGUCACGAUCAUCAUCAUCAUCAUCAGAAGAGGGACGAGGACAUCACGGUCACGGCCACGGCCACCAUCAUGGAAGACCCCCACGGCCACGUCCACCACGUCCGCCAGUAUCAAGAGAACCCGAAUGUCCAAGUGAUUGGUUGUCGUUUGACAGACCUCAGGGAGUCUGGUGUGUCAAGGUGAGCGAGCUACAAGUGCUAGCUCUUUAUAGUUUGUAGUCUUACAGGUCUUCUAUGAAUCACUCACUCAGCCCAUCGCCGAGAGUAGGUGCCAGGCACAAGGGGCCACAUUGUCCGGAUACCAGAAUGCCAAUGAGCGAAUGCAAGUUUCAUGUGAGAUUUGUAGUUGUUGUAGGCUGGGACCUAUCAACCAUUAUCACGAGGUGCCAGGCUGUCCAAUUACGGAUUGAUCUACAAAAAAUGCGGGAAUUUUGUGCCCAGCAAAAAUAUGUGACGUCAGCACGUUCUUAACCAUGCAAAAUCAGUUAAAAACUCUGCGUCUAUUCUCCCGCAUUUUUUGUAGAUCUACGUAGAUCAAGCCGAAAUGAGACACACUUUGACACCACGUGGAAAAUCGGACUAACGGGUAUCCGAAAUCUGGGCAAUACAGUGUCUAUUUUUAAGGUGAUACCGAGGUUUUUCCAUAAUUUUUGAUUUGCUACAAUGCUAUGGCACACGUGGAGUCAGAAAGUCCCAUUUCGAUUUGAUCUUCAAAAAAUGCGGGAGGGGAGACGCAGACAUCUCAACUGAUUUCGCAUGGUUAAGAGCGUGCUGACGUCACAACUUUUCUGGAAAAAUAUUUCCGCAUUUUUUGUAGAUCAAACUGUAAUGAGACAGCCUGACACCACGUGAUGGCACUGUUUCUUCUGGUAAAUUAUAUGAAAACUCAAAAAAUGAACUUUGAAAAACCGGAUGUCCGGUUUCCUAGACGAAAUUUUAUUUUACUGGAAACACUUCAGACGCUGCUCGUACACUUACAAACCAGAAUGGAGGUGGCUUAGCCGAAGUUUGGGUUGGAGCCUAUAGAAAAGCUAGAUGUCCAAAUAAACCUUCAUGUACCCCUCUUGACACUUUCGAAUGGACUGAUGGACAUACAACUGGUACUGAUGGAUUCCAUUAUCCGGGUACCGAGCCAAAUGGAUAUGUCAACGAACAUGGGUUAGUACAGAUUUUAACUACUAGUUUAUAAAUCGUAAAGUUACAUGGAGCUCUUUUCAGACUUUUUUUUGAGCCGCAGAGCACCUCUCUAAGCCUAAAUCUCGGCUUGUCAAGCUAAUAAGCCUAAGCCUGAACCAAAGCCUGAGCCUACUUCUAAGCCUAAGCCUCUGCCUAAGCCUAAGCCUAUGCCUCACAGCUUGAGCCUAAUCCAAAGCCUAAGCUUAAGCCUAGGCCUAAAACCUUUAAAAUUUCAGGGUUACCUAAAUUAAAUUCAUUCCAUUUUAUUUCUAUAAUAUUCAGACAACAAUAUUGUAUGGAAAUGCAUAUUCACCCGAGCUCUGACACUGAAGCGGCUCGCUACGGAUAUCAUCAAGGAGAUUUGGAUGAUAUGCUUUGUGUUGUACCGGUCAGACUCUAUGCAUGUGGAAAAGUACCCGAACAA
rnacentral:sRNA from 1 species